AGGUAAGGAAAAUUAUUCAAUUUCGUAACGUCAGUGUUUGCACAUAUCCGUGUUUUACUGUUGUUGUUCACUACAAUAAUAAAUCCGUUUUAUUGCGCUUUCUUAAAAGUGCGUUGCACAGCAAUAAGUAGCCUAACUUAAUAUUUUUGGGAAAUGGGUAAAAUAACCGACAGUGUUUAACCUUCUUGUAAAACUUUAAUGGCCUUUUGAUAUGUAGAGGCUACAUUCCUCUCCGUUUACUUUUUAGUAUAGACCUACUGUAGGCUAUCAUCAUGGAAAGGAGCAAGAAGGACAUUAUGUCCUUUUUUGCCCCUGUUGGCAAAAAGCAACAUAGAGAGAGUAAGGAAGAUGAAGAUUAUGAAAGAGGAGAGAGAGCCAGAGGUGGAGAGAGAGCCAGAGGUGGUGGUUGGAGAGGUGGAAAGUGAGGCAUCUGAAAGGCAAUCUGAGAGUGAGGAUGAAGACAUUCAGGAUCAGAUUGAGGGACAGAAUGUGGGACAACCCAACAAGUCAUUGGGACAACCAGAUUCACCAUGCAUAUCAAGUACAGCACCAUCAGAUAUCAGCAAGUGCUUGGACGACACUCCAGUGCAGCCACGUCUGAAGAAAAGGUUCAUUGUAUGCAAAAAUAGAAAUCUUAUUUUACAAAAAAGAGAAACAUGGUUUUAAGAUUUACUGAGCACAAUUUAUUUUAUGUUUAGGCUAUUGAGACAGAAUGUUUAUCUCAUUGUAUUUAUGCUCAAUGUAUUUUGUUUUGGUUUUAAAUAAACUAAACAAAACAUUUUGAACGCCUAAA